rnacentral:tRNA from 1 species
GGCUCCCUUAGCUCAGUCGGCAGAGCGUUUCCAUGGUAAGGAAAAGGUCGAGAGUUCGAUUCUCUCAGGAGGCU